ACAUCGGUGACAGGUGGUGCAUGGUUGUCGUCAGCUCGUGUCGUGAGAUGUUGGGUUAAGUCCCGCAACCGAGCGCAACCCCUGUCUUUAGUUGCCAUCAUUAAGUUGGGCACUCUAAAGAGACUGCCGGUGUCAAACCGGAGGAAGUGGGGAUGACGUCAAGUCCUCAUGGCCUUUAUGACCAGGGCUACACACGUACUACAAUGGCAGGUCAAAGGGCAGCCACUUAGCGAUAAGGCGCGAAUCCCAUAAAACCUGUCUCAGUCCGGAUUGGAGUCUGCAACUCGACUCCAUGAAGUUGGAAUCGCUAGUAAUCGCAGAUCAGCACGCUGCGGUGAAUACGUUCCCGGGCCUU
rnacentral:rRNA from 1 species